rnacentral:rRNA from 1 species
GACGAACGCUGGCGGCGUGCCUAAUACAUGCAAGUAGAACGCUGAAGAGAGGAGCUUACUCUUCUUGGAUGAGUUGCGAACGGGUGAGUAACGCGUAGGUAACCUGCCCUGUAGCGGGGGAUAACUAUUGGAAACGAUAGCUAAUACCGCAUAACAAUGGAUGACACAUGUCAUUUAUUUGAAAGGGGCAAUUGCUCCACUACAAGAUGGACCUGCGUUGUAUUAGCUAGUAGGUGAGGUAAUGGCUCACCUAGGCGACGAUACAUAGCCGACCUGAGAGGGUGAUCGGCCACACUGGGACUGAGACACGGCCCAGACUCCUACGGGAGGCAGCAGUAGGGAAUCUUCGGCAAUGGGGGCAACCCUGACCGAGCAACGCCGCGUGAGUGAAGAAGGUUUUCGGAUCGUAAAGCUCUGUUGUAAGUCAAGAACGGGUGUGAGAGUGGAAAGUUCACACUGUGACGGUAGCUUACCAGAAAGGGACGGCUAACUACGUG